rnacentral:rRNA from 1 species
GAUGAACGCUAGCGGCAGGCCUAACACAUGCAAGUCGAGGGAGAGGUUACCUUCGGGUAAUCAAAACCGGCGCACGGGUGCGUAACGCGUAUACAAUCUGCCUUUCACAUAGGGAUAGCCCGAAGAAAUUUGGAUUAAUACCUAAUGGUAUAUAAGAGCGGCAUCGUUUUUAUAUUAAAGCUACGGCGGUGAAAGAUGAGUAUGCGUUCUAUUAGCUAGUUGGAGAGGUAACGGCUCCCCAAGGCGACGAUAGAUAGGGGUUCUGAGAGGGAUGUCCCCCACACUGGUACUGAGAUACGGACCAGACUCCUACGGGAGGCAGCAGUGAGGAAUAUUGGACAAUGGUCGGAAGACUGAUCCAGCCAUGCCGCGUGCAGGAUGAAGGUCCUAUGGAUUGUAAACUGCUUUUGUAAGGGAAGAAUAAGGGGUACGUGUACUUUGAUGACGGUACCUUACGAAUAAGCAUCGGCUAACUCCGUGCCAGCAGCCGCGGUAAUACGGAGGAUGCGAGCGUUAUCCGGAAUCAUUGGGUUUAAAGGGUCCGUAGGCGGGCUGAUAAGUCAGAGGUGAAAGCGCUUAGCUCAACUAAGCAACUGCCUUUGAAACUGUCAGUCUUGAAUGAUUGUGAAGUAGUUGGAAUGUGUAGUGUAGCGGUGAAAUGCUUAGAUAUUACACAGAACACCGAUAGCGAAGGCAUAUUACUAACAAUUUAUUGACGCUGAUGGACGAAAGCGUGGGGAGCGAACAGG